GCCGCGCGGAGAACUCAUGUACGAGGCUAAUGAGGGUGCAUGUCACUCGACUGUAUCGUAGGAAGACCUGAGACUGUCAAGCUAUACCCCCGUGAGGGAACUACCUUGAGAGGGUACAGGACAACAGAAAAGGUUCCUGAGAGGCGCCACGACGCAGUAACCGGGCCCGUGAGCUCGUGAGGGUGAGGUGCCAUCACUGAAUGUGACGACCGUGUUGAGCGCGUGAAGCGAGAUUUGCACACGAACCCCGAUUCAGACUACUCCUGCGGCGGC
rnacentral:RNase_P_RNA from 1 species